CAGUACCGGUCAUUUACCAGUAAAGUGGCUCAUAAUCUGGAAAAAUUAUAUUCGAUUCUAAAGGAAAGAUCUUAAAUCGAUUCAGAACGUGAAAUAUCUUUCUCUUUCGUAUUUGGUAAUGUUGAAUCAGUCAUCUUUAGGAACUGCUUCAUCCUGAACUGGAGAACCAGGUGAGUCGCCUGUUGAUGUGAUGACCAAAGCAGCGAGCGGUAGAGCAGUGAUGGGAAGAGUAAACAUCACAGAACACCAGUCACACACCGAUUCACACUUAGAAGCCAUUUAAUUUGUCCAUAACGUAUCCACUAUAAUCAACCUAACUCAGGAGCGUGCAAUCUUAUCCACAAAGGGCCAAAGAGGGUGCAGGUUCUCAUUAAGAUCACGCAUUCUUGCAAAUAUUAUGAACAGCAGAUAUGUUAAUCCCUUUCCACUGCUUCUCUCUUUCUACCCAUCCCGAGGCAUCCAGAAAUUCUAACAGCUCCGAUCAUCUUCCGUGCCAUGAAGAUUUUGGACCUCCACUGAGAUGAGGCUGACUGAGAAUCCUGAGGCAUCUAGAGAUCCUACCAGCUCCAGUUAGACUCUGUGAUACUAUAGAGAUGUGAACUCCAUGUGGUCUUUUGCAUCUAUACAUUUGUCAGACUAUAUAUUUAUAAAUCACACCCUCCAGUGUCACCCAUAUGAGGAUGAGGUUCCCCUUUGAGUCUGGUUCCUCUCAAGGUUUCUUCCUUUACCAUCUAAGGGAGUUUUUCCUUGCCACUGCUGCCUGAGUCACCUCAGACUUGCUCAUUGGGGAUAAAUACAAAACACAUCAGGAACUAAAUAUAUCUAAUAUUAAUCUUGAAUUUUGUAUUUUAAUAAUCUUUAUAUUAAUCUUUAUUAUAACAUUUUGUUUAAUGUUUAUGUUCUGUAAAGCUGCUUUGAGACAAUGUCAAUUGUAAAAAGAGCUAUACAAAUAAACUUGAAUUGAAUUGAAUUGAAUUGGGACAUGCCUGAUUCCACCUGUUUAAUCAGUUGGUCCCGGCUUUCAAUAGACUCAUGUGUGGCUUCUUCUUGUUUGGAAUGAAAACCUGCACCCACAAAGGCACUUUAUGGAUAAAAUCAGACACCCCCGAACUAGCUGCAUAUUUUUGGCCAGUGAGAGGAAACUGGAGAACCCAGAGGAAAUCCACAUAAUUCUGGGAGCUACAGUAGAGAGUCCUCCAGGCAAUGACAUGGUGCAUCUUGACUUCAGACACAAAACAAAAACAAGGAACUCACAGGGGAAUUACUUGUAUGUAGAUCAGAGGUGUCUAAAUCUUAUCCAGGAAGGGUCUGUGUGGCUGCAGGUUUUCAUUUCAACCAAGCAGAAGCCACACCUGAGUCUAUUGAAAACCAAGAUCUGAUUAAACAAUUUGAAAAUAUUAUAGGCAUUCUGAAUUACUAUUUUUAAUCUGUAAUUUACUUUAACAUUUACCAUAAUUUUUGUAAUAUUGUUGUGUCUUGUGUCUACUAUUGGGGCAAUAUCAAAAUAUUAACCACUUCCCAUCAUGUUCGGGAAAUUUGGAUUAUUUCCUGUUUAACAUGUGACUUAUUUUUCACUGGAAUGUGUUCAGCUAGCAGGGUUGUCGUAAAGGACACUAUAGCCGUGCUUAUAAUGUCUUUGAAAUUUGUAUGGAUAUAUUUGUUAAUAAAAUAUCAGUGUGUCACAAA